UAUCUGGUUGAUCCUGCCAGUAGUCAUAUGCUUAUCUCAAAGAUUAAGCCAUGCAUGUCUAAGUACACAGACUCGUACUCUAAAACCGCGGAUGGCUCAUUAUAACAGCUAUGAUUUGAGAGAUUUAAUCUUUUUGCCAUAAGAUAACUGUGGUAAUUCUAGAGCUAAUAUUUCGAAGAAUGCCGUGACUCACGAAGCGGCGGAUUUAUUAGAUCAAAAUCAACCUGUCGAAAGGCGGUUCUUUGAUGAAUCUGGAUAACUUUACUGAUCGUACGACCUUUGUGUUGACGACAUAUCUCUUGAAAUGGCUGACCUAUCAACUUUCGAUGGUAAGAUCAAAGCUUACCAUGGUUGUAACGGGUAACGGGGAAUCAGUGUUCGAUUCCGGAGAGGGAGCCUGAGAAACGGCUACCACAUCUACGGAAGGCAGCAGGCGCGUAAAUUACCCAAUACCGGCUCGGUGAGGUAGUGACAAAAAAUAACAAUAUGGGCCCUAGUGGUUUCAUAAUUGCAAUGAGAACAUUUUAAAUACUUUAUCAAGUAUCAAUUGGAGGGCAAGUCUGGUGCCAGCAGCCGCGGUAAUUCCAGCUCCAAUAGCGUAUAUUAAAGUUGUUGCAGUUAAAAAGCUCGUAGUUGAAAUUGGGGAAACGAUCACGAUUUCGUGUCCGUAAGGAUCGAGUUCGGAUUGUCCUUCUGAGUCGUGUAUACCAGCGGUGCUCUUUAAUGGGUGUCGUUGGUAACCGACAAGUUUACUUUGAAAAAAUUAGAGUGCUUAAAGCAGGCUUAUGCUUGUAUAUUGUUGCAUGGAAUAAUGAAAUAGGACUUCGGUUUUAUUUUGUUGGUUUUCGAAACUGAAGUAAUGAUUAAAAGAGACUGCCGGGGGCAUAUGUAUGCUGGUGUGAGAGGUGAAAUUCAUUGAUCGUCAGCAGACAAACAACUGCGAAAGCAUUUGCCAAGAAUGUUUUCAUUAAUCAAGAACGAAAGUCAGAGGAUCGAAGACGAUCAGAUACCGUCCUAGUUCUGACCAUAAACUAUGCCAACUGACAGUUAGUGAUGGUAGAUUUAAUGUCCUCACUAGAAGUCACCGGGAAACCUAAGUCUAUGGGUUCCGGGGGAAGUAUGGUUGCAAAGCUGAAACUUAAAGGAAUUGACGGAAGGGCACCACCAGGAGUGGAGCCUGCGGCUUA
rnacentral:rRNA from 1 species